AAAUGUAAUCUUUAGGCUUUGAAAUCUCUCCUUCCCCCGGUUGCCCUCGGCUCUGGUAUGGAGCGACCGGGUCCGAGUCUUCCCGCUGCCCUUCCUCCCUGCCACCUUCUGUCCUGUGUGGUCUUACUGGAAGUUCCUCUGAGGGGAUCAGGGCCGAGGCGUAAAGCUCCCGGGGUACGGGCAGGGCUGUGUGCCCUGCUCCCACACACGUGGGCCUCAUCCUAGCUUCCUGGGGUUCUUGUUCCGGGGAUCCCUUCUUCUUCAUCAUCACAGAGUGCUCUCCGUGAGUGGGCUGGAAGGUUAGGCCCAUUUACUAAAAGAUCUUUCAUGAGAUAGAAGAGACUUGCCCCCACAUCAGUGUUACCGGCUAAAGAGAGAGCUGUCACAGACACUUAAGAAAUGAAUUAAACAUGUUGGUAGGGCCGCUAGAAACCUAUUCCCCGUACUUUUCCUUUAGAAUCUCCCUGUUUCUACUCUGCAUCACCAUGGAGCCUGCGCAGCUGAGUUCUGACUGUCACAGAAGGCAGGCAACAGCCUUGAUGGACAACAAACUUCCGUAGUGCCCGAAGGGUGUUGUAUCAGCAAGAAGCUGGACUGGGGAACGCAGCUGGAAGUCAAAGCCCGAUCCUGUAAUAUGGGCUGUGGGUGUCCCAAGUGGCCUGCUGCUCUCCCCUCGCUCUUCCGCCCAGCUCUCAUCUAUGAAGCACUUAUUAGCUAUAUUCAAGAGAACUCACUUUAUUCAGAGUCGGCCAAAUGAAUAAAUCUUCAAGGGGAAAGCUUUGAAAGCUUGGCGGCACCAUGAAACAUCACACAUGGCGUCUGACUCAGGGAAAUGCAAAUAUCCGCAAAAUCGGAGAAAGCGUGGAGAUACAGAUCUUCUGUCUGGGUCCAGUGGACUAGAGGCUCGGUUUCCGUAUCUCUCACCCCAUCUCUGCAAUCUUCUGUGACAUCACAGACAAUAGGAAAUGGCCACAGUAAGGCUAGGUCCUCUGAAAAACUCUGGAACAUGUCCGUAACGUGACCUUUGCCAUGAUCUUGGGUUCUUGGAAAGUCCCAGAAGAGGAGAGAGAGGGCUUCUCUGGUUCCAGGAUGAGAUCUUUCCUUUUACAGCUCCAGCGGUAAGCAGUGAGCUGACUGACCCACAUUGUUUUCUUUAAACAAAGUAGAAGGAUCUGUUCGCUUGGUUCCACUAUUCUUAAUGCGGGGAUAUGGCUCUUACUUGGUGGCUGCCAAGUGGGAUGCAGCUCUUACUGACUGGAUAGGUUAGAGUGCAUGAUGUUUGCACUGACUGGGGAGUCAUGAUCCUACCAUAUACCAUAUGCUCUUAGUUGAUGGGAUGAUGGUUACUAAACACAGCCGCUCCCCGCUUCCACACGUUGUGGAAUGAGACAUUCCACUGGUUGGUGCCGGGACUCCUGAACUUCCACGAGUCUUCUUUCAGACUCAUUUAUUUUGUGGUGGGGGGGAUAGAUUUGGUUAAUUCACUUAUUG